UACGUAGGGGGCGAGCGUUGUCCGGAGUUACUGGGCGUAAAGCGUACGCAGGCGGUCUUUCGCGUUCGCACGGACAGUCGUCGGCUCAACUGACGAAGGGGUGAGAAAACGGAAAGACUUGAGGGCUCACGAGGGACACGGAAUUCCGGGUGUAGUGGUGAAAUGCGUAGAUAUCCGGAGGAACACCAAAGGCGUAGGCAGUGUCCUGGGGAGUCGCUGACGCUCAGGUACGAAAGCCAGGGGAG
rnacentral:rRNA from 1 species